GACGGAGGGUGCAAGCGUUGCUCGGAAUCACUGGGCGUAAAGGGUGCGUAGGCGGCUUGGUAAGUUGGGUGUGAAAGCCCCGGGCUCAGCCCGGGAAGGGCACUCGAAACUGCUGAGCUGGAGUGCCGGAGGGGAGAGUGGAAUUCCUGGUGUAGCGGUGAAAUGCGUAGAUAUCAGGAGGAAUACCGGUGGCGAAAGCGAGUCUCUGGACAUUUCCUGACGCUGAGGCACGAAAGCCAGGGGAGCAAACGGG
rnacentral:rRNA from 1 species